UGAAGCUGACUUGCCAUUGCUUUGGCGCUUUAGCUGUAUGAUAGAUUUAAACUACUUCAUAAAGCUAGAUUACCAAAGCAUUGGCUUCUGCAGGUCA
ensembl:ncRNA mir-79 mir-79 stem loop